rnacentral:misc_RNA from 1 species
GGAGUAGAAGUCGUAACAAGGUUUCCGUAGGUGAACCUGCGGAAGGAUCAUUAUCGAAAUACUUAUUUAGCGUUCCGUGCUAUCCCAUUGUUUUAUUUACCCUGUUGCUUCCACUGGAUGAGUUUCCAUACCUUGUGUUUGAGAAACUUUGGCUUGUGUAAGAUUCAUUCACGGCCAGCCAGUGAGAAGACCAUUUACAAAACCCUGUUAAGAACCAAUUGUCUGAAUAUUUUACUCCAAUGAAAUAAAACUUUCAACAACGGAUCUCUAGGCUCUU